rnacentral:rRNA from 1 species
CCUACGGGAGGCAGCAGUGAGGAAUAUUGGUCAAUGGGCGGAAGCCUGAACCAGCCAAGUAGCGUGCGGGAUGAAGGCCCUACGGGUCGUAAACCGCUUUUGCACGGGGAUAACACCCUCCACUUGUGGAGGUCUGCAGGUACCGUGCGAAUAAGGGCCGGCUAAUUCCGUGCCAGCAGCCGCGGUAAUACGGAAGGCCCGAGCGUUAUCCGGAUUCAUUGGGCUAAAAGGGUGCGUAGGCGGGCGUUCAAGUCAGCUGUAAAAUCGCGCGGCUCAACCGCGCCCCGCAGUUGAAACUGGACGCAUUGAGUUCACAACAGGCAGGCGGAAGUCGUGGUGUAGCGGUGAAAUGCAUAGAUAUCACGAGGAACCCCGAUUGCGAAGGCAGCCUGCCGGGGUGCGACUGACGCUGAGGCUCGAAGGUGCGGGUAUCAAACAGGAUUAGAUACCCGAGUAGUC